rnacentral:rRNA from 1 species
CAAGUCGAACGAGAAAGUGGAGCAAUCCAUGAGUAAAGUGGCGCACGGGUGAGUAACACGUGACUAACCUACCCUGGAGUGGGGGAUAACUGAGGGAAACCUUAGCUAAUACCGCAUAACACCUACGGGUCAAAGGAGCAAUUCGCUUCAGGAGGGGGUCGCGGCCGAUUAGUUAGUUGGCAGGGUAAUGGCCUACCAAGACGAUGAUCGGUAUCCGGCCUGAGAGGGCGCACGGACACACUGGAACUGAAACACGGUCCAGACUCCUACGGGAGGCAGCAGUGGGGAAUUUUGCGCAAUGGGGGAAACCCUGACGCAGCAACGCCGCGUGGAGGAUGAAGUCCUUCGGGACGUAAACUCCUUUCGAUCGGGACGAUUAUGACGGUACCGGAAGAAGAAGCCCCGGCUAACUUCGUGCCAGCAGCCGCGGUAAUACGAGGGGGGCGAGCGUUGUUCGGAAUUAUUGGGCGUAAAGGGUGCGUAGGCGGUUUGGUAAGUCUUAUGUGAAAUCUACAGGCUCAACUUGUAGUCUGCAUGAGAAACUGCCGGGCUUGAGUAUGGGAGAGGUGAGUGGAAUUCCUGGUGUAGCGGUGAAAUGCGUAGAUAUCAGGAGGAACACCUGUGGCGAAAGCGGCUCACUGGACCAUAACUGACGCUGAUGCACGAAAGCUAGGGGAGCAAACAGGAUUAGAUACCCUGGUAGUCCUAGCCCUAAACGAUGACUGCUUGGUGUGACGGGUACCCAAUCCCGCCGUGCCGUAGCUAACGCGUUAAGCAGUCCGCCUGGGGAGUACGGUCGCAAGGCUGAAACUCAAAGGAAUUGACGGGGGCCCGCACAAGCGGUGGAGCAUGUGGUUUAAUUCGACGCACGCGAAGAACCUUACCUGGGCUCGAA